rnacentral:SRP_RNA from 1 species
GCCGGGCGCGGUGGCGCGCGCCUGUAGUCCCAGCUACUCGGGAGGCUGAGGCUGGAGGAUCGCUUGAGUCCAGGAGUUCUGGGCUGUAGUGCGCUAUGCCGAUCGGGUGUCCGCACUAAGUUCGGCAUCAAUAUGGUGACCUCCCGGGAGCGGGGGACCACCAGGUUGCCUAAGGAGGGGUGAACCGGCCCAGGUCGGAAACGGAGCAGGUCAAAACUCCCGUGCUGAUCAGUAGUGGGAUCGCGCCUGUGAAUAGCCACUGCACUCCAGCCUGGGCAACAUAGCGAGACCCUGUCUCUU